AGAGUUUGAUCCUGGCUCAGAGUUAACGCUGGCAGCGUGCAUAACACAUGCAAGUCGAACGGGACUGUUUGCGAUUACAUCAAGAGCAGUUUAGUGGCAGACGAGUGAGUAACACGUAAGAAAUCUACCCCAUAGAAGGGAACAACUCGCCGAAAGGCGAGCUAAUACCCUAUACAAUCCCGAGAUGGCAUCAUCUUGGG
rnacentral:rRNA from 1 species